rnacentral:rRNA from 1 species
GGUUAGUCCGCAACGAGCGCAACCCCUACUUGUUAGUUGUCCAUCAUUCAGUUGGGCACUCUAGCGAGACUGCCGGUAAUAAACCGGAGGAAGGUGGGGAUGACGUCAAAUCAUCAUGCCCCUUAUGACCUGGGCUACACACGUGCUACAAUGGUUGGUACAACGAGUUGCGAGUCGGUGACGGCGAGCUAAUCUCUUAAAGCCAAUCUCAGUUCGGAUUGUAGGCUGCAACUCGCCUACAUGAAGUCGGAAUCGCUAGUAAUCGCGGAUCAGCACGCCGCGGUGAAUACGUUCCCGGGCCUU